CGGACUGGUGAGUAACGCGUGAGGAACCUGCCUUUCGGAGGGGACAACAGUUGGAAACGACUGCUAAUACCGCAUGACGUAUCGGAUCGCAUGGUCUUGAUACCAAAGAUUUUAUCGCCGAAAGAUGGCCUCGCGUCUGAUUAGCUAGUUGGUGGGGUAACGGCCUACCAAGGCGACGAUCAGUAGCCGGACUGAGAGGUUGGCCGGCCAACAAUGGAACUGAGACACGGUCCAUACUCCUACGGAAGGCAGCAG
rnacentral:rRNA from 1 species